CCUACGGGGGGCAGCAGUGAGGAAUAUUGGUCAAUGGGCGGAAGCCUGAACCAGCCAAGUCGCGUGAGGGAUUAAGGCCCUGCGGGUCGUAAACCUCUUUUGCCGGGGAGCAGUGGUCCGGACGCGUCCGGACCGGGAGAGUACCCGGAGAAAAAGCAUCGGCUAACUCCGUGCCAGCAGCCGCGGUAAUACGGAGGAUGCGAGCGUUAUCCGGAUUUAUUGGGUUUAAAGGGUGCGUAGGCGGGCAUUUAAGCCGGCGGUCAAAUGUCCGGGCUCAACCCGGGCCUUGCAGCGCGAACUGGCGUGCUUGAGUCCGCGGAAAGCAGGCGGAAUUCGUCGUGUAGCGGUGAAAUGCUUAGAUAUGACGAAGAACCCCGAUUGCGAAGGCAGCUUGCUGCAGCGGAACUGACGCUGAUGCUCGAAAGCGCGGGUAUCGAACAGGAUUAGAUACCCGGGUAGUC
rnacentral:rRNA from 1 species